GGGUUGGAUCCGACGCCUCUAGAAGGCUACUAUAGGCUCUCCUUCUCAACUCCUACUCAAUACGUCCACGACGUGCAGAANNN
rnacentral:ribozyme from 1 species